UACUAUAUAACAAAUAAUUUGAGCUCUAUGUCGGGGGAACUACCUCCUUGUUUAGAGGACCAAUUAGAGACUUGUGAUAUAUCAGAUGUUGAGAAGUAUUUCGAGUUAGACUCGUGUAAGAAAUGGUGCGAGGAAAACAACUUCAAGAAUGUGGCUCUGCAGUUCCCGGACCAUCUUCUAGCUCAUAGCACCAAGGUGUACAACGCCCUGACAACAACCACAACUCAACUUCACAUACUAGCAGACACCAACUACGGUUCGUGCUGUGUGGACGAAGUGGCGGCACAACGACUCAGCACUCAGGCCAUCAUACACUUUGGUCACUCGUGUAACUCUCGUGUCCUCUCUCUCCCCACCCUGUUUAUAUUUGGCAAGGAGCCAGUAGAAGUAGACAGCCUGGUCGAGUGUUAUAAACAGACGUACACUGCGCAGGACAAUGUCUUGGUUGUUUUUGACCCGGUAUAUUAUCAUGCCAGUAGUCGGUUUAACCAGGACUUGCUGAGGUGUUAUCCUAAUAUUUGUGUCAGGAAGUAUUGUCGAGAACAAAAUACUUCUAAUUCUGGCGAUGAUUCCACCGAGGAUAUGUCAGGUGAUGGCGAAUAUUCAGUAUUUUAUGUGGGAACAGAAUCUUUGGCGCUAACUAAUUGUAUACUCAAUAAUGGAUCAAGGAAAGUGUGGUCCUAUGAUCCGACAAGUAAGGAAUGCCGGUUGGAAUCGAGGAGUGUCAACAAAAUGCUGAUCAAACGAUUCAGCAAUAUUGAGAAAAUUAAGAGUUGUAAGAUCAUUGGAAUUUUGAUCGGAACUCUUGGAAUUAAAAGCUUCCGGGAAGUUAUUGAUCGUAUGAAGCAAGUCAUAAAGGCGGCCGAUAAGAAGUUUUACAUUGUCAGCAUUGGAAAACCCAACCCUCCAAAACUUGCCAACUUUGCCGAGAUAGGCGCCUUUGUGAUGGUGGGAUGCCCUGAAAAUUCUUUGCUUGAUUGUAAGGAAUUCUAUCAGCCGAUAGUAACUCCCUACGAACUUGAGAUAGCUUGUGUUGAUAGACCGUGGGAAAUAGACUACAUCAGCGAUUGUUCCACCCUACUGGAUAGCAACUACAUCGAUAUACCAUCCCCAGAUACUAACCCGGAUAAUAUAAACGACAAAGCCAUAGAAAAGUUCAGGUCUUUGGACAUUGCUGUUAACUAUCUAAACGAUCGAACGUGGUCGGGGCUUCAACAAAGGCUCGGUGAAGAUGAGCCUGCAGUUUUAAAACAAGGCCAGUUUGGUAUUGCUGGGUUUUACGAAGAUGAACCGGAGGGCGACACAAGAUUAAAGAAUUGAAGUUAAAUCAACAAACCGCUCGAAGCAAAAUUGGUGCUCACGCGCGAACGCCGAACUGGAUCUCGCUGAAAAAAGUCUCCUUUUCAGAGUUUUCUAUAGACUUUAUCGAAAGCCGCGCACCUGCGCCCGCAGAGCAAUUGCCGUAGUUUCAUUGAAAAUUGGAUCCAAUUGGCCUAUUGACUAUUCAAAUAGCGAAUGAUUAAUGCAUAAUGCAUCUGGUCACAAAUUUUAUGCAUCGCCAUGCGUACUGAUCAACACAUUCGCUAUCUAUGUGUGCAAUUAGCUGAAUACUAUACCGAUAUACUCCUUAGUGACACACGUACGAGUGAGUGUGCAAUUUUAUUAUGAUAUGUAACCCCAAUUUCGUGAUAGGAUGACCACUAAAUUUAACGAUGGAUGACGGAAAUAAAGGAGGAAGUAAUCUCAAGUCCAUAUUCUACAGAGUAGACAGCGACAGGAAUGGUCUUAUCGAUAUAAAGGAACUUUACAAUGCUUUAAAGCAAUCUAAUGAGAACGACUUCAACCCCGAAACUUGCCAACUCCUCAUGGGGCUAUUUGACGUUAACGAGGACGGAUAUAUUGAUAUGGGUGAGUUUGGGGGGAUGGUGAAGUACAUCAGGAGCUGGAAGAGUACGUUUGGACUGAAUGUUGCGAACAGCACCGUUCCUGGCAUCAACUCAACACAACUAUACGACACCUUGAAGGCAUGUGGCUGUGGAGUUGACGAAACAAUGUGCAAAGUUCUUAUCAAAAACUUUGACUCCCGCAACAUGCAAGCGCUCGGAUUUGACGACUACAUGCGAUGUUGUGUCACUGUUCAGUCCAUGUACAAAGCGUUCACUCACCAGCAGUCGCCUGACGGGACGUUGAGGUUAGAUUUAGAGGGCUUAGUUACUAUGGUAGUCGAGUCUAGGGCGAGACCGGUACAAAAUCUAGCCUUUGAUUAGCUCUGAACUUACUAAACUGUAGAUCUCGUUUAAUAAUUGUUUAAUUAGGAUUAUUAGAGCUACUUUACGACUGGUGUAUCUUUAAUUUAUCCUGUUAAAUGUUGACAAUAAAUCCUUUUCAACGAAUGCUUCACAGUUUUACAAGCUAGCAGCCAACUCGGCUUGUUGAGCCGAGUCUUAUUUUUCAGAAAAAUGUAAUCUUUAAACUUCAAAUAUAUACUAUCGCCUUUGACAACCUAUGCCGACGAGUUUUAAGAUAAUGAAGCACACUAACUUUACUGUUUUCCUCCGUGAAUUCUUAUAAACUGUUCUGCAAACAAUUGUAUUGAACAAUGUUUUACUAUCCUCAAGCAGUAAUUACCAGUGAUAUAUAUUAGAGUGCAUUGCAUGAUACCGGAUUUAAUAAGCCUACCUUUAGCCACAGUUAACUCUGAAAUUGUAUUUAGUGUGUCGUUUAUCAAAUUUGUUCUAGACACCAAUUAAACAUUUGACUAGUUAUUUUACUUUUUAUUAGUAUUUUCCUUUUUUUUAUUUGUUACUAUAAGUUUCUAUUUUGGGUACAUUUUAGAUUGAAUUCAUUUGUCUUUAAAGGGGUUUCAGAUUUAUUUUUUGUGAACAUAAAAAAAUAUAAAUAUAUAACAUGUGAAUACUAGAUUGUUAAAUUGUAUUAUAUCUUUAGUUUUGUUCGUUAGCUUAGAC